AUUGAACGCUGGCGGCAUGCCUUACACAUGCAAGUCGAACGGUAACGCGGGGGCAACCCUGGCGACGAGUGGCGAACGGGUGAGUAGCGCAUCGGAACGUGCCCAGUAGUGGGGGAUAGCCCGGCGAAAGCCGGAUUAAUACCGCAUACGACCCACGGGUGAAAGCGGGGGACCGCAAGGCCUCGCGCUAUUGGAGCGGCCGAUGCCCGAUUAGCUAGUUGGUGAGGUAAAGGCUCACCAAGGCAACGAUCGGUAGCUGGUCUGAGAGGACGACCAGCCACACUGGGACUGAGACACGGCCCAGACUCCUACGGGAGGCAGCAGUGGGGAAUUUUGGACAAUGGGGGAAACCCUGAUCCAGCCAUGCCGCGUGCGGGAAGAAGGCCUUCGGGUUGUAAACCGCUUUUGGCAGGAACGAAACGGCGCGGGCCAAUACCUCGCGCUAAUGACGGUACCUGCAGAAUAAGCACCGGCUAACUACGUGCCAGCAGCCGCGGUAACAC
rnacentral:rRNA from 1 species